rnacentral:rRNA from 1 species
CACGUAGGGGGCAAGCGUUGUCCGGAUUUAUUGGGCGUAAGAGCUCGUAGGUGGUUCGGUAAGUCGGGUGUUAAACCCCCAGGCUCAACCUGGGGACGCCACUCGAUACUGCUGUGACUAGAGUCCGGUAGGGGAGCGUGGAAUUCCUGGUGUAGCGGUGAAAUGCGCAGAUAUCAGGAGGAACACCAGCGGCGAAGGCGGCGCUCUGGGCCGGUACUGACACUGAGGAGCGAAAGCGUGGGUAGCAAACAGG